rnacentral:rRNA from 1 species
UCCUACGGGGCGCAGCAGUGAGGAAUAUUGGUCAAUGGGCUUACGCCUGAACCAGCCAAGUCGCGUGAGGGAAGACUGCCCUAUGGGUUGUAAACCUCUUUUGUCAGGGAGCAACGCCGGCUACGUGUAGCCGGACUGAGAGUACCUGAAGAAAAAGCAUCGGCUAACUCCGUGCCAGCAGCCGCGGUAAUACGGAGGAUGCGAGCGUUAUCCGGAUUUAUUGGGUUUAAAGGGUGCGUAGGUCGUUAAUUAAGUCAGCGGUGAAAGUUUGUGGCUCAACAGUAAAAUUGCCGUUGAAACUGGUU